CCUACGGGUGGCUGCAGUGGGGAAUAUUGGACAAUGGGGGGAACCCUGAUCCAGCCAUGCCGCGUGUGUGAAGAAGGCCCUCGGGUUGUAAAGCACUUUCGGUGAGGAAGAACGCCUGGUGGUUAAUACCCAUCAGGAAAGACAUCACUCACAGAAGAAGCACCGGCUAACUCCGUGCCAGCAGCCGCGGUAAUACGGAGGGUGCGAGCGUUAAUCGGAAUUACUGGGCGUAAAGCGCGCGUAGGUGGCUUGAUAAGCCGGUUGUGAAAGCCCCGGGCUCAACCUGGGAACGGCAUCCGGAACUGUCAAGCUAGAGUGCAGGAGAGGAAGGUAGAAUUCCCGGUGUAGCGGUGAAAUGCGUAGAGAUCGGGAGGAAUACCAGUGGCGAAGGCGGCCUUCUGGACUGACACUGACACUGAGGUGCGAAAGCGUGGGUAGCAAACAGGAUUAGAUACCCCUGUAGUC
rnacentral:rRNA from 1 species